rnacentral:tRNA from 1 species
GCAUCGGUGUUCAGUGGUAGAAUGCUCGCCUGCCACGCGGGCGCCCGGGUUCGAUUCCCGGCCGAUGCA